GUGUGGUGGCAGCUUUUGGGCAAUUGUGCUAUCCCAAGGAAAGUAGUAAAACUCAGAACCUCAUCAAGUAAGGAAUACAGAAGCAGUGGUUUUAACAGACACCCAAUUCAAUCCAGUUUUGGCUUUAAUUUAAGAGCAAAAUGCAGAAGAAAAUGAAGGCCAGGCAGUGGAGAAGUACGACCUAUCUCUGAAAAGAGCAGUGGAAAUCCAAAAGAGAAGAGGUUGGGGUAAAAUAUGGGUAUUCUAUUUUAAACUGAUUUUGCAGCCUGCAGAGACUGAAAAGAACUUUCUGAGAAUAGGAAAUAAAAGGUAAUGAUGGCUUACAGAGGUGAGAAAUAGGAUUCAAAAUCUGAACACACACAAAUGAUAAGCAGGGAGAACAAAACCAAGAUGAUUUCAGGAAGUGACAUACUGGUUUUGCAAACAGAGUAAAAAGGGUUUUUCUUCUUUAAUUUAUAUUGCCACCAUUUUUUUAACUGUUGAUAGCCGACCGAGAAAUAGUAAAGAUUCUAAAACUAUGACUAGAUUUCCAUUAAGACAUUUAUA